rnacentral:lncRNA from 1 species
CAAAACAGCUCAAACAACAUCAAAUCAAAUAAAAUCCAUCGGAUUCAAGCCUAAAUUUUCAAAAUCUUCGAAUUUCGCUUUUGAUAAAAAACCCAACCAAAUCACGUUCAAAUGACCUGAAAUUUUGCACACAUAUCCCAAAUGACACAAAGGAACUAUUGCAACUCUCGGAAUUCCAUCCUGGCCCCUAUAUCAAAAUCUCACAUACCAAUCGAAAAUGGUCAAAAAUUCAAUUUCGCUAAUUCAAGCCUAAAUCUACUCCGGACCUUUAAAGUCAUUUCGAUCACAUUUUCAAGUCCCAAAUUACCUCCCGAAGCUAACCGGACCAUCGGAACUCACACUCGAGCCCUCCAACACAUAAGUCAAUAUCUGGUUGACCUUUUCCAACAUAAGCUUCUCAAAAGAGACUAAGCGUCUCAAACCUUACCAAUUCCUUUUCGAACUCGAACCAAGCAACCCAAUCACAUAUAGAACCUUUAGACAAAGCAAUAAGAAGCAGAAAGGGGAAAAACGAAGCGGUAACUCACGAGACGACUAGCCGGGUCAUCACAAGAUUAGAGCACCGGUGCUCCAAUCCCCAGUAUAAUAUGUUGUACCGGAGUAUAUUAUACUGGAGUUAUUUUUCCGGAUUUUGAAUAUUAUUUUUGUUAAAAUUUAUUUUUAUAUAAAAAUUGACUAAAUUUUGAUUAUUUUUGAAAUUGUGGCUAUUUUUGAAUGACCACUUGUAAAUUUGACUAUUUGGCUAUUUUUGAAUUUCUCCCCAAACAAAGUACUCCCAUUACCAUGGCUUGAGUCUCCAGCUUCAACCUCUUUAAGGUUUUAACCAUCACCUACAGUAAUUUUAGCCAUAAAUUAGCCAUUAAGAACAAUUCAUGACAGAUCCAUGAGUAUCACGCUAACCACAGUCAAACAACCCUAGCUUCCGUCCCUUAUUGUUUCGCGUUUUUAUAAACAAAAACUUUCGUGUCGUAGUUUGCGUUGAAUUUUCUCGCUUUGUGGCUAGUUUUUCAGAGUCUCCGUCUCUAUUUUCGUCUGAGCUUUCCAAUCGUUGUUCUGCCGCCAUUAACCUCGUAUCUGAAGGGAGAAGAGUUGGAAUUGUGUGGGAAGCACGAGUUAUUAUUUUUUAAAGCAUAAGCACGAAUUGCUUAUAGAUCGAUUCAGGAACUUUAGUUUUUGCCAAAUUUAGAAGGAAUGGGGAAAGGGGAUAUGGGCAUGGUGAAAAAGUGGCUAAUUGGAGAAGAAAAAAUCCGAGUUGAGAAAAAGGGGAAAGAAACAAAGAAGAAUAUAAAUGUUUGUAUUCUUUCGGGCAAUCUCUGUUUAUCCUGGCAAUGAAAACUAAAAAGUAAGGUGGAUGGUGGUGA